GAUGAACGCUGGCGGCGUGCCUAAUACAUGCAAGUCGAGCGGAGCGGGGACGGGUGAGUAACAAGUGGAUAACCUACUAUACGACUGGGAUAAAUACGGGAAAACGGAGCUAAACCGGAUCCUUAUAGAUGAAUCCGCGCUGCAUUAGCUAGUUUGUAAGGUAACGGGUAACCAAGGCAACGAUGCAUAGCCGACCUGAGUGGGUUGUCGGCCACCCUGGAAUGGAGACACGGUCCUGACUCCUACCCGAGGCAGCAGUACGGAAUCUUCCGCAAGUGUCGACAGCCUGACGGGGCAACGCCGCGUGCGUUAUGAAGGUCUUCGUAUCGUAAAUCUCUGUUAUUAGGACAGCGGUACCUAAUCAGAAAGCCACGGCUAACUACGUGCCAGCCGCCGCGGUAAUAC
rnacentral:rRNA from 1 species